rnacentral:rRNA from 1 species
CCUACGGGAGGCAGCAGUGAGGAAUAUUGGUCAAUGGGCGCAAGCCUGAACCAGCCAAGUCGCGUGAGGGAAGACGGCCUACGGGUUUUAAACCUCUUUUGCCGGGGAGCAAGCCUGAGCACGUGUGCCCAGUCUGAGAGUACCCGGAGAAUAAGCAUCGGCUAACUCCGUGCCAGCAGCCGCGGUAAUACGGGGGAUGCGAGCGUUAUCCGGAUUUAUUGGGUUUAAAGGGUGCGAAGGCGGGCUGUUAAGCCGGUGGUAAAAAUUCAGGGCUCAACCUGGUCGAGCCGUCGAAACUGGCAGCCUUGAGUGGGGGAGAAGUAUGCGGAAUGCGUGGUGUAGCGGUGAAAUGCAUAGAUAUCACGAAGAACGCCGAUUGCGAAGGCAGCAUACCGGAGCCCGACUGACGCUGAGGCACGAAAGUGUGGGGAUCGAACAGGAUUAGAUACCCCUGUAGUC